rnacentral:rRNA from 1 species
GAUCAUGGCUCAGGAUGAACGCUGGCGGCGUGCUUAAUACAUGCAAGUCGAACGGAGGACUUUCGUAGUAAUACAGGAGUUCUCAGUGGCGAACGGGCGAGUAACGAGUUGGUGACCUGCCCCGAAGUGUGGGAUAACAGUCCGAAAGGAUUGCUAAUACCGCAUGUGAUCAUUGGUCUUAGAAUCUGAUGAUUAAAGCAGUAAUGCGCUUCGGGAGGGACCUGCUUCCCAUCAGCUAGUUGGUGAGGUAAUGGCCCACCAAGGCUACGACGGGUAUGGGACCUGAGAGGGUGGUCCCACGCAAUGGCACUGAAACACGGGCCAUACACCUACGGGUGGCAGCAGUAGGGAAUAUUGGGCAAUGGGCGAAAGCCUGACCCAAGCAACGCCGCGUGCACGAUGAAGGCCUUCGGGUCGUAAAGUGCUUUUCUGAGGGAUGAGUAAGGACAGUACCUCAGGAAUAAGCUUCGGCUAACUACGUGCCAGCCGCCGC